rnacentral:misc_RNA from 1 species
GGUUCCAUUUGCUGUCUGGUGGGGCGGAGAUACUUGUUUGCAGCAAGAAUAUCUGACCGGAAUAUUCAUACUAUAACAAUGUAACAUGGUGAAAAAUCUAUAGGUUUUUGAGAUUUGGGAAAAAAACCCAAACUUAGAAAGUCAAGAGUGAUUUGACUGUAUUUAUUAACUGAUUUCUCUUGAGAAGCGAACAAACUCAUGCGCGAGUCU